rnacentral:rRNA from 1 species
UGGUCUUGACAUCCUAGGAAUCCCGAAGAGAUUUGGGAGUGCCGCAAGGAGCCUAGAGACAGGUGCUGCAUGGCUGUCGUCAGCUCGUGUCGUGAGAUGUUGGGUUAAGUCCCGCAACGAGCGCAACCCUUGUCCUUAGUUGCCAGCAUUAAGUUGGGCACUCUAAGGAGACCGCCGGUGACAAACCGGAGGAAGGUGGGGAUGACGUCAAGUCAUCAUGGCCUUUAUGACCAGGGCUACACACGUGCUACAAUGGUAGAAACAGAGGGAAGCCAACGCGCGAGCGGGAGCCAAUCCCAGAAAGCCAGUCGUAGUCCGGAUCGGAGUCUGCAACUCGACUCCGUGAAGUCGGAAUCGCUAGUAAUCGCGAAUCAGCAACGUCGCGGUGAAUACGUUCCCGGGUC